CCUACGGGAGGCAGCAGUGAGGAAUAUUGGUCAAUGGGCGAGAGCCUGAACCAGCCAAGUCGCGUGAGGGAGUACUGCCCUAUGGGUUGUAAACCUCUUUUGUCGGGGAGCAAAAGCCGGACGUGUCCGGCUGUGAGAGUACCCGAAGAAAAAGCAUCGGCUAACUCCGUGCCAGCAGCCGCGGUAAUACGGAGGAUGCGAGCGUUAUCCGGAUUUAUUGGGGUAAAAGGGUGCGCAGGCGGAUUGUAAAGUCAGCGGUCAAAUCGUGGGGCUCAACCCCAUCCAGCCGUUGAAACUGGGGAUCUAGAGUGUGCGAGAGGUAUGCGGAAUGCGUGGUGUAGCGGUGAAAUGCAUAGAGAUCACGCAGAACCCUGAUUGCGAAGGCAGCAUACCGGUGCACAACUGACGCUCAGGCACGAAAGCGUGGGUAUCGAACAGGAUUAGAUACCCCAGUAGUC
rnacentral:rRNA from 1 species